rnacentral:rRNA from 1 species
GAUGAACGCUGGCGGCGUGCCUAAUACAUGCAAGUCGAGCGAACGGACGAGAAGCUUGCUUUUCUGAUGUUAGCGGCGGACGGGCGAGUAACACGUGGAUAACCUACCUAUAAGACUGGGAUAACUUCGGGAAACCGGAGCUAAUACCGGAUAAUAUUUUGAACCGCAUUGUUCAAAAGUGAAAGACGGUCUUGCUGUCACGUCUAGAUGGAUCCGCGCUGCAUUAGCUAGUUGGUAAGGUAACGGCUUACCAAGGCAACGAUGCAUAGCCGACGUGAGGGGGUGGUCGGCCACCCUGGAGCUGGGCCGCGGUCCUGGCUCCUGCGGGAGGCCGCAGACGGGAAUCUUCCGCAAUGGGCGAAAGCAUGACGGAGCAACGCCGCGUGAGUGAUGAAGGUCUUCGGAUCGUAAAACUCUGUUAUUAGGGAAGAACAUAUGUGUCCGUAACUGUGCACAUCUUGACGGUACCUAAUAAGAAAGCCACGGCUAACUACGUG